GUGGGAGAGAGCCCAGGUCAGAACUGUGUUAUCCCAUUGCUGUGGACUGAAUGCUUGUAUUCCUCUCCCGCCACCCCUUCCGAUUCACAUGUUGAAACCUAAGGCCUAACGUGAUGGUGUUUGAAGUGAAGCCUUUGGGAGGUGAUUGGUCAUGAGGACAGAGCCCCAUCGGAGGGAUUCCUGCCCUUGUAGAGGAGGCUCCAGAGAGACCCUUCUGCCGUGAACGUGCAGAGGACGGCCAUGUGUGAAUCAGGAGGCCAGCCAGUCGCCAGAACUGGGAGAAAUCAACUGUCAUCCAUAAUGCAGAACAUCAUUGGUUCAUGAUCAGAUCUUUGGCUGCACGAGUGUGGAAGGGGAUGAUGCUGGAGGCAGGAAGAUACAUCAGGCGACUGCAUUCUUCUGGAAUUGUGUGUUAUGCAAGAGUUAGAAGAUUAACUCCAAAGUCGUUGGGACUUCCCGGGUGGCUCAUUGGUGAAGAAUCUGCCUGCUAGUGCAGAGAAGCAGGAGAUGCAGGUUUGACCCCUGGGCCAGGAAUAUUCCUGGAGGAGGGCAUGGCAACAUGAUACAG
ensembl:lncRNA